rnacentral:rRNA from 1 species
GUGCCAGCAGCCGCGGUAAUACCGGCAGCUCGAGUGGUCGUCGCUUUUAUUGGGCCUAAAACGUCCGUAGCCUGUUUGGUAAAUCUGUGGGUAAAUCAACCAGCUUAACUGGUUGAAUUCUGCAGAGACUGCCAGACUAGGGACCGGGAGAGGUGUGGGGUACUCUCGGGGUAGGGGUAAAAUCCUGUCAUCCUGGGAGGACCACCAGUUGCGAAGGCGCCACACUGGAACGGAUCCGACGGUCAGGGACGAAGCCUAGGGGCACGAACCGGAUUAGAUACCCGGGUAGUCCUAGGAGUAAACGCUGUGAACUUGGUGUCGGGGAUCCUACUUGGGUUCCCGGUGCCGGAGUGAAGAUGUUAAGUUCACUGCCUGGGGAGUACGGUCGCAAGGCUGAAACUUAAAGGAAUUGGCGGGGGAGCACUGCAACGGGAGGAGCGUGCGGUUUAAUUGGAUUCGACGCCGGAAAACUCACCAAGGUUGACUGUUAUAUGAAGACCAGCGUAAUGAGCUUGUCAGAUUUUCAUAGAGGUGGUGCAUGGCCGUCGUCAGUACAUACUGCAAAGCGUUCUGUUAAGUCAGAUAACGAACGAGACCCGCAUCCCUAUGUGCCACCCUGUUCUCCGGAGCAGGCGCACCAUAGGGAGACCGCUGGUGUCAUACCAGAGGAAGGCGCGGGCAACGACAGGUCAGUAUGCCCCGAAUGUCUUGGGCUACACGCGCGCUACAAAGGACGGGACAAUGGGAAGCCAGGCCGAGAGGCCGAAAUAGCCCGAACCCCGUUCAUAGUUCGGAUCUAGGGCUGGAACUCGCCCUCGUCAAGCUGGAUUCCGUAGUACUCUAAUUUCAACAAAGCCCGGGAAAUAUGCCCCUACUCCGGGCACUCGCCCACGGGC